rnacentral:rRNA from 1 species
AUUGAACGCUGGCGGAAUGCUUUACACAUGCAAGUCGAACGGCAGCACGGACUUCGGUCUGGUGGCGAGUGGCGAACGGGUGAGUAAUACAUCGGAACGUGCCCAGUCGUGGGGGAUAACGUAGCGAAAGCUACGCUAAUACCGCAUACGAUCUACGAAUGAAAGCAGGGGAUCGCAAGACCUCGCGCGAUUGGAGCGGCCGAUGGCAGAUUAGGUAGUUGGUGGGGUAAAGGCUCACCAAGCCGACGAUCUGUAGCUGGUCUGAGAGGACGACCAGCCACACUGGGACUGAGACACGGCCCAGACUCCUACGGGAGGCAGCAGUGGGGAAUUUUGGACAAUGGGCGCAAGCCUGAUCCAGCCAUUCCGCGUGCAGGAUGAAGGCCCUCGGGUUGUAAACUGCUUUUGUACGGAACGAAAAGGCUCUGGUUAAUACCCGGGGCUCAUGACGGUACCGUAAGAAUAAGCACCGGCUAACUACGUGCCAGCCGCCGCCGUAA